GCUUUUCACAUCAGGUGUCCAUGUUCCCUUCUUCUGUGAAUUCUUCUAUCCCAUCUCAUGAAAGGGCACACCAUGGAGUGAGACGCUCAAGCCAGAAACUCAGGAAUCAUCUUUCUUCUCUUCUGUCGGACAACAUCCACGUCUGUUGAUUUCUCCUUCAGGAGUCUCUGACAGAGCUCUAUUGAGCACUAGGGGAAGUCGCUGGAAGAAUGCUCAGCUAGGUCACAGGAGAUGUCAAGUACCUCCCCAGUCUCAAAGCUAACCUCCCCCACCAGCGGUUUCCUUCUGUGCCUUAUGAGGUACCUGAUGGCAUUUUGUCAAUCAUCCUCUGAGCCUUGACCGCUAUUGCCAGGGUUUGGAUUUUCAGGUUUCCAUUCUUCCUAGAACUUCAUAGCCUCUUGUGCCACCUCUGUUCUUUUUACGACUUUGCCUUCUCCUUUCAAUUUUGUGACAGUUGCUGCCACCAGUGGAAUUCCUAUUCUCUCCCCUCGCUCAUGUUCACAGUCAGGUUAUGUUGGAAUAAAAUAAGUUGCUUGAAGAAGCAAAGGUUUAUUUCUUGUUCCUGCUUCACGUCCAUGACGGUUUCUCUUCUCCUUCCAACAUAGAGUGAGGCUGUGGGCCUCUACUGUAGGGACAGUUUUUGGAGGCCGAGCACAAGGAAGGGAGGAAGCAAGGAAUGUCCUGCACUGGCUCUGCCAGGCUCUGCCUGGGGCUGAGGCACCUGCAUUGGGAUCAUCGGCCAGUGACCAAAGCACACGGCAUUUCCACACCCACCCCCAAGUAGGUGCACCCCACGCCAUGUCGGGAGAAAACUGGGGUAGCUGGUGAACAUCCCCGUCCUGACCACCAGACCGCCUCCUGGCUCUUUUGCCUGCCUGCCCACCCUUCUCCCUCCCAUCCUCUCUUCCUCCAUUUCUCCCACUUUUCCUCCCUUCCUCCCCUUCUCCCUCCUUUUUUUCCUCUUUCCUUCCACCUUAUAAAAUGGCUGGGAAACAUCCCUGGGAAUAUCCCCCAAAUGGGGAACCAAGCUUC
rnacentral:lncRNA from 1 species